rnacentral:rRNA from 1 species
CUAGCGACUUCAGAGUUUGAUCCUGGCUCAGGAUGAACGCUGGCGGCGUGCUUAACACAUGCAAGUCGAACGGAGAUGUUUCGCUGACGAGGCUUCGGCCAAAUCUUGAGGCAUCUUAGUGGCGGACGGGUGAGUAACGCGUGGGUAACCUGCCAUAUACAGGGGGAUAACACUUAGAAAUAGGUGCUAAUGCCGCAUAAGCGCACAGUUUCGCAUGGAACAGUGUGAAAAACUCCGGUGGUAUAUGAUGGACCCGCGUCUGAUUAGAUAGUUGGUGAGGUAACGGCUCACCAAGUCGACGAUCAGUAGCCGGCCUGAGAGGGUGAACGGCCACAUUGGGACUGAGACACGGCCCAA